rnacentral:rRNA from 1 species
AGCUCCAAUAGCGUAUAUUAAAGUUGUUGCGGUUAAAAAGCUCGUAGUUGGAUUUCUGUCUAGAUCGGCCGGUCCCCACAACGUGGGCGCAUCUGGUUCAGUCUGGGCAUCCUCCUAGGGAACGUGCUGCUCUUCAGUGAGUGGUACGGAAUCUGGGACUUUUUACUUUGAGGAAAUUAGAGUGUUUACGGCAGGCCAAU